AUUUUAUUUGAUGUUAGGGAGAAACUCACAUCAUGUGAGUGUAGCAGCUAUUAUUUCAACAAAUUUGUUCACUUCUAUGUAAGUGCCUUAUUUGCACAAAGCACUUUAACAAAUAACUGUAUUUUUAUGGUUAUGAUCAAUUUGUAGAAACUAAAGUAUUUUAGAGACUUAAAUUGUGAUCCUUCAUCAGUUUUACUCAGGAUUGUAUUCC